rnacentral:rRNA from 1 species
GAUUGAACGCUAGCGGGAUGCUUUACACAUGCAAGUCGAACGGCAGCGCGGACUUCGGUCUGGCGGCGAGUGGCGAACGGGUGAGUAAUGUAUCGGAACGUGCCCAGUAGCGGGGGAUAACUACGCGAAAGCGUAGCUAAUACCGCAUACGCCCUAAGGGGGAAAGCAGGGGAUCGUAAGACCUUGCACUAUUGGAGCGGCCGAUAUCGGAUUAGCUAGUUGGUGAGGUAACGGCUCACCAAGGCGACGAUCCGUAGCUGGUUUGAGAGGACGACCAGCCACACUGGGACUGAGACACGGCCCAGACUCCUACGGGAGGCAGCAGUGGGGAAUUUUGGACAAUGGGGGCAACCCUGAUCCAGCCAUCCCGCGUGUGCGAUGAAGGCCUUCGGGUUGUAAAGCACUUUUGGCAGGAAAGAAACGUCGCGGGCUAAUACCCCGUGGAACUGACGGUACCUGCAGAAUAAGCACCGGCUAACUACGU